GCAGCGGAGCGUGUGGUUUAAUUCGAUGCUACACGAGAACCUUACCAGGUUUGACAUGCAAGUGGUAGGAACCGAAAGGCGACCGACCCUUCGGGGAGCUUGCACAGGUGCUGCAUGGCUGUCGUCAGCUCGUGUCGUGAGAUGUUCGGUUAAGUCCGCUAACGAGCGCAACCCUCGCUGUGUGUUACAAGUGUCACACGGUACUGCCGGUCUUAAGCCGGAGGAAGUGGGGAUGACGUCAAGUCAGCAUGGCCUUUAUGUCCUGGGCUACACACACGCUACAAUGGCCAACACAAUAGGUUGCUAAGCCGCGAGGUGGAGCCAAUCCUCAAAGUUGGUCUCAGUUCAGAUUGCAGGCUGCAACCCGCCUGCAUGAAGAUGGAGUUGCUAGUAACCGCAGGUCAGCUAUACUGCGGUGAAUACGUUCCCGGGGCUU
rnacentral:rRNA from 1 species